AAACUAGCUUAAAUUUUUAAUUCCUUAAAUAAUCAUAAGUAGCUCAAUUAUUCAAACACUCA
rnacentral:tRNA from 1 species